CUUAUCUUUCUCUGUACAGCUCUUUGGUUCCAGUCGUGCUGUUGAAAGUGCUUUAUAAAUAAAGUUUGAGUUGGGUUGUGUUGUGCUGCUU